AUGAAUUGUAUUUCAAUGAUCAGAGUGCCACGAAACACAGUGUUUAGAGCUCCUGUUAUGACAGAGUUGAAGAUAAACUGUACUAUAACUCUAGAUGGAUGUCACAGGAACCCAAGAGUCUCAUGGUGCAAACUCAAUGGAAGUGACUGUAAAGCUUUAAAUUACUCACAUCACAUAAGAACUGACUGGAAAAGCAUCACAGAACAUGAAUGGAUGGCUUUCCUGAUUUUCCUGAACAUCUCAAUGGAGGACACAGGUUACUACAGAUGUAAAGAAGGUGACACAUCUGUAAGCCAUGCUAUUAUUGUCACUGUGACAGAUAAAUAUAAGGAUGAGGUGUCACGCAAUCAAAGCAACACACAUCAGGGCAUGAACAUUACAAUUCAUGACAUUACUGGUGCAGAUGAUGAUCUUAAGUGGCUCGGGCCAUAUGUGUACAUCUGCAGUGGAGUGGGGCUGGUCUUCAUAGUUAUGACUGUAUCAUUUCUUUAUGUCAUUAGACACCAAGGAACAAAAUCUACAAGAAAAGAUAAGGCAAAUAAAAAUCAGUACAUGGAUACACACAAAAAAGACCUGCUUCUUCCUCCCCAUCUCUAUCUGAACUCAGACCUGCUGACUUCUGUUGUAUACCGUGUUUAA
ensembl:lncRNA